UUGCCUGUUUUAUGGUAUUUUCACCUAAUUAAUACCCUGCAACCUGCAUGAUCUUGUUUCUUCUGUGGCAGUGGACAAUGCUAAAAAUGAUAUUAAAGUCCGCCCAUGCUCAACGCUCAACUCAACUAGUCUUUCAUCGAAUUCAGAACCCAGGUUCAAGCCCUAGGUCUAGAGGCUUGUUACAGGAUCCACUCUCCAACUCCAUUGUCUCAUCUUCCCUUCAUAGGAGGCCUUGGUACUUGCAAUUUUUUCACUCAAGCAUGCUGGAAAACUAGCGUUUGAAAACAUUUGAAAGGUUCAUGGAACCAUAAUCAAAUUUCAUACGUUUUCAUGCCCAGAAAUAUGAGCUCUGAGAUUGAAGUGAUGAUCGAGCUAAGCAUUGCAGGUGCAUGCUAGAUUUAUGUGGCUGGUAGCCGGUAGGCACCUCAAAUUAUGGGUUACUCUCCUUCCAAGAUGGGACUCAGUCCUCUGGAAAUUUGAGGAUUAGGUUCAUGGAAGAUUUGUUGGAGCAUGGAAAUAGGCAGUCGAGAAUGCAGAUGAAUUGGACCUUUUAAGGCAUAGAAAGGAUUAGAAGAAAACUGAUAAAAGAACGCAAGGAGGGAACACUAAGUUGGAGCUGGGUUGCAGUAGGUUCCCAAGUUUGUAAACUUCUAGUUAUUGCCAACUUGCAUGCAGUGAUUGCUUUUAGGCCUGCAUUGACUGCAAACAUAGCAGGUCAUUGGAUCAUAGAGGAUCUGAAAGUAAGCCAUUGAUUGACAAAUAACUCUCAGGAACUGAACUCGGACCCAUCAAUUCAGAGGUGGCUUUGGUCCCUGCAAAAAGUAUUGGUGAAGAGUCAUGAAAGUAAUCCCCAUUCAUUAGGAAAUAUAAAAAAUUCAGAAACCAAAUGUUAAGGUAAAAACCUCGGUAGCAGG
rnacentral:lncRNA from 1 species